GAAGAACCAGGAAUGGAAAAUGAAAAGGAAAAGCCAGUGAAGUCAAAGGUAAACCAGGUUUGUCCUGGAAGACACGUGAAAGAACUUGCCAAGGAGGAAGUAAUAGUCAAUUUUGUCUGAUUCUACUCAUAGGUCAGACAAACUUCUGUACAAGGGCUGAGGACAGGACAAGAUGUGCUGAUGUAUAAAAAGUCUAAAUCUGCAGCAUAAUCUGUGAAGAGAUGAGGAAAGCCACGUACUCGAAGCCUCACUUAAAGGAAAUGAAACAGUAAAACUAAAUCAGAUUUGGCUCUUCACUUCUGCCUUCAGUGCUGUCCAGACUCAGACAUUAUAUCAUUCUAGAUCCUUCCAAAAAAGAGCCCGCAUAGCCAAGACAAUCCUGGGCAAGAAGAGCAAAGCUGGAGGCAUCACACUACCUGACUUCAAACUAUACUACAAGGCUACAGUAACCAAAACAGCAUGGUACUUGUACCAAAACAGAUAUAUAGACCAAUGGAACCGAACAAAGGCCUCAGAAAUAACACCACACAUCUACAACCACCUGAUCUUUGACAAACCUGACAAAAACAAGCAAUGGGGAAAGGAUUCUCUAUUUAAUAAAUGGUGUUGGGAAAACCGGCUAGCCAUAUGCAGAAAACUGAAACUGGACCCAUUCCUUACACCUUAUACAAAAAUCAACUGAAGAUA
rnacentral:lncRNA from 1 species